rnacentral:rRNA from 1 species
GACAGAGGGUGCAAACGUUGUUCGGAAUUACUGGGCGUAGAGCGCGUGUAGGCGGCUAAGUAAGUCGGGCGUGAAAUCCCACGGCUCAACCGUGGAAGUGCACUCGAAACUGCAUAGCUAGAGUCCUGGAGAGGAAGGUGGAAUGCUUGGUGUAGAGGUGAAAUUCGUAGAUAUCAAGCGGAACACCGGUGGCGAAGGCGGCCUUCUGGACAGUGACUGACGCUGAGACGCGAAAGCGUGGGGAGCAAACAGG